AUUGAACGCUGGCGGCAGGCCUAACACAUGCAAGUCGAGCGAGCGGCGGACGGGUGAGUAAUGUCUGGGAAACUGCCUGAUGUAGGGGGAUAACUACUGGAAACGGUGGCUAAUACCGCAUACCCUACGAUGUGACCAGAUGGGAGUAGCUAGUAGGGGGGGUAAUGGCGCACCUAGGCGACGCUCCCUAGCUGGUCUGAGAGGAUGACCAGCCACACUGGAACUGAGACACGGUCCAGACUCCUACGGGAGGCAGCAGUGGGGAAUAUUGCACAAUGGGCGCAAGCCGGAUGCAGCCAUGCCGCGUGUAUGAAGAAGGCCUUCGGGUUGUAAAGUACUUUCAGCGAGGAGGCGUUACUCGCAGAAGAAGCACCGGCUAACUCCGUGCCAGCAGCCGCGGUAAUAC
rnacentral:rRNA from 1 species